UACGUAGGUGGCAAGCGUUGUCCGGAUUUAUUGGGCGUAAAGGGCGCGUAGGCGGCCUGGUGUGUUUACGGUGAAAUCCCUCGGCUUAACCGAGGAACUGCCGUGAAAACUGCCGGGCUCGAGGCCGGAAGAGGGUGGUGGAAUUCCCGGUGUAGCGGUGAAAUGCGUAGAGAUCGGGAGGAACAUCAGUGGCGAAGGCGGCCUGCUGGGCUGUUGCUGACGCUGAGGCGCGACAGCGUGGGGAGCAAACAGG
rnacentral:rRNA from 1 species